rnacentral:lncRNA from 1 species
UGUAAUUGAGGAGCUGCCAAGGCACAUCUGGAUAUUUUUCUUCUUCUUCUUCUUCUUUGUGUUAGGGACUGAUGUGCAACUAAUUAAAGGCAGACAGGCUGGUAGCGUCUGCACACUCAAGCCCCCCCAAAUAAAGAGCCUGGACGCCCGCCAGUCCCCAGUGCAGCCGGGGGUGAGGUUCCUUGUGUAGAUUUACGCUCCCUUCAUCUGGAUUUGUUUACAUAAAGCCUGCUUUCAGUGCACGACGUUGGGAGAAGACGAAGUUUUUGCACUCGCUGCGGCAGCUCCCGUGAGGAUGCCGGAGGAACGGCUGCCCGGCCAAGCACCGACCGCGGGGAUGCGUCCGGAGGAGGAGGAGGAUUAAGCGACCCCCCCCCCGCCCCGUCCCUCUCCCCCCGGCCCCCCCCCCCCCCCCCCCCCCCCCCCCCCCCCCCCCCCCCCCCCCCCCCCCCCCAACACCAACGUGUGCGUGGAGAGCGGCCCCAACCCCGAGGCGCCGGGGCUGCCCAAGGACAGCCACCUGCCCGAGGGGGCCCUCAACAGCCUUGUGGAUUACAACUCGGAGAUGGAGAGGUACCGCUCCUUCGCCACCUUCUACAAGACCAACGGCGGCGCCUUCCCCCAGGCGGCCAAGAUCGCCCGCAUCACCACCCCCAUCUUCCCCAGCGCGGCCGCCGCCGCCGCCGCCCGCAUCGGCAUGUCCCCCUGGAACUGCGAC